GACGAACGCUGGCGGCGUGCUUAACACAUGCAAGUCGAACGGAAAGGCCCUGCUUGCAGGGUACUCGAGUGGCGAACGGGUGAGUAACACGUGGGUGAUCUGCCCUGCACUUCGGGAUAAGCCUGGGAAACUGGGUCUAAUACCGGAUAGGAGCCAUUUUUAGUGUGAUGGUUGGAAAGUUUUUUCGGUGUAGGAUGAGCUCGCGGCCUAUCAGCUUGUUGGUGGGGUAAUGGCCUACCAAGGCGGCGACGGGUAGCCGGCCUGAGAGGGUGGACGGCCACAUUGGGACUGAGAUACGGCCCAGACUCCUACGGGGGGAAGCAGUGGGGAAUAUUGCACAAUGGGCGCAGGCCUGAUGAAGAGACGCCGCGUGGGGGAUGACGGCCUUCGGGUUGUAAACUCCUUUCGCUAGGGACGAAGCUUUUUGUGACGGUACCUAGAUAAGAAGCACCGGCUAACUACGUG
rnacentral:rRNA from 1 species